rnacentral:rRNA from 1 species
GGUUAAGCGACUAAGCGUACACGGUGGAUGCCCUGGCAGUCAGAGGCGAUGAAGGGCGUGCUAAUCUGCGAUAAGCGCCGGUAAGGUGAUAUGAACCGUUAUAACCGGCGAUACCCGAAUGGGGAAACCCAGUGUGAUUCGUCACACUAUCAUUAACUGAAUCCAUAGGUUAAUGAGGCGAACCGGGGGAACUGAAACAUCUAAGUACCCCGAGGAAAAGAAAUCAACCGAGAUUCCCCCAGUAGCGGCGAGCGAACGGGGAGGAGCCCAGAGCCUGAAUCAGCAUGUGUGUUAGUGGAAGCGUCUGGAAAGGCGCGCGAUACAGGGUGACAGCCCCGUACACAAAAGCGCAUGUGCUGUGAGCUCGAUGAGUAGGGCGGGACACGUGGUAUCCUGUCUGAAUAUGGGGGGACCAUCCUCCAAGGCUAAAUACUCCUGACUGACCGAUAGUGAACCAGUACCGUGAGGGAAAGGCGAAAAGAACCCCGGCGAGGGGAGUGAAAAAGAACCUGAAACCGUGUACGUACAAGCAGUGGGAGCACCCUUUGGGGUGUGACUGCGUACCUUUUGUAUAAUGGGUCAGCGACUUAUAUUCUGUAGCAAGGUUAACCGAAUAGGGGAGCCGGAGGGAAACCGAGUCUUAAUUGGGCGUUAAGUUGCAGGGUAUAGACCCGAAACCCGGUGAUCUAGCCAUGGGCAGGUUGAAGGUUGGGUAACACUAACUGGAGGACCGAACCGACUAAUGUUGAAAAAUUAGCGGAUGACCUGUGGCUGGGGGUGAAAGGCCAAUCAAACCGGGAGAUAGCUGGUUCUCCCCGAAAGCUAUUUAGGUAGCGCCUCGUGAAUUCAUCUCCGGGGGUAGAGCACUGUUUCGGCUAGGGGGCCAUCCCGGCUUACCAACCCGAUGCAAACUGCGAAUACCGGAGAAUGUUAUCACGGGAGACACACGGCGGGUGCUAACGUCCGUCGUGAAGAGGGAAACAACCCAGACCGCCAGCUAAGGUCCCAAAGUCAUGGUUAAGUGGGAAACGAUGUGGGAAGGCCCAGACAGCCAGGAUGUUGGCUUAGAAGCAGCCAUCAUUUAAAGAAAGCGUAAUAGCUCACUGGUCGAGUCGGCCUGCGCGGAAGAUGUAACGGGGCUAAACCAUGCACCGAAGCUGCGGCAGCGAACGUAUCACCCAAGACAACUUUACGGAGUUGACGAUUGACGGAGCGAAGCGACGUCAAAGCGUUCAUUAAAGUCGAGUUGGCUUAGGGAUACGUUCGUUGGGUAGGGGAGCGUUCUGUAAGCCUGUGAAGGUGUGUCGUGAGGCAUGCUGGAGGUAUCAGAAGUGCGAAUGCUGACAUAAGUAACGAUAAAGCGGGUGAAAAGCCCGCUCGCCGGAAGACCAAGGGUUCCUGUCCAACGUUAAUCGGGGCAGGGUGAGUCGACCCCUAAGGCGAGGCCGAAAGGCGUAGUCGAUGGGAAACGGGUUAAUAUUCCCGUACUUGGUGUUACUGCGAAGGGGGGACGGAGAAGGCUAUGUUGGCCGGGCGACGGUUGUCCCGGUUUAAGCGUGUAGGUGUGUGUUCCAGGUAAAUCCGGUUCACUUUAACACUGAGGCGUGACGACGAGGCACUACGGUGCUGAAGCAACAAAUGCCCUGCUUCCAGGAAAAGCCUCUAAGCAUCAGGUAACAUCAAAUCGUACCCCAAACCGACACAGGUGGUCAGGUAGAGAAUACCAAGGCGCUUGAGAGAACUCGGGUGAAGGAACUAGGCAAAAUGGUGCCGUAACUUCGGGAGAAGGCACGCUGACACGUAGGUGAAGUGAUUUACUCAUGGAGCUGAAGUCAGUCGAAGAUACCAGCUGGCUGCAACUGUUUAUUAAAAACACAGCACUGUGCAAACACGAAAGUGGACGUAUACGGUGUGACGCCUGCCCGGUGCCGGAAGGUUAAUUGAUGGGGUCAGCGCAAGCGAAGCUCCUGAUCGAAGCCCCGGUAAACGGCGGCCGUAACUAUAACGGUCCUAAGGUAGCGAAAUUCCUUGUCGGGUAAGUUCCGACCUGCACGAAUGGCGUAAUGAUGGCCAGGCUGUCUCCACCCGAGACUCAGUGAAAUUGAACUCGCUGUGAAGAUGCAGUGUACCCGCGGCAAGACGGAAAGACCCCGUGAACCUUUACUAUAGCUUGACACUGAACAUUGAGCCUUGAUGUGUAGGAUAGGUGGGAGGCUUUGAAGUGUGGACGCCAGUCUGCAUGGAGCCGACCUUGAAAUACCACCCUUUAAUGUUUGAUGUUCUAACGUGGACCCGUAAUCCGGGUUGCGGACAGUGUCUGGUGGGUAGUUUGACUGGGGCGGUCUCCUCCUAAAGAGUAACGGAGGAGCACGAAGGUUGGCUAAUCCUGGUCGGACAUCAGGAGGUUAGUGCAAUGGCAUAAGCCAGCUUGACUGCGAGCGUGACGGCGCGAGCAGGUGCGAAAGCAGGUCAUAGUGAUCCGGUGGUUCUGAAUGGAAGGGCCAUCGCUCAACGGAUAAAAGGUACUCCGGGGAUAACAGGCUGAUACCGCCCAAGAGUUCAUAUCGACGGCGGUGUUUGGCACCUCGAUGUCGGCUCAUCACAUCCUGGGGCUGAAGUAGGUCCCAAGGGUAUGGCUGUUCGCCAUUUAAAGUGGUACGCGAGCUGGGUUUAGAACGUCGUGAGACAGUUCGGUCCCUAUCUGCCGUGGGCGCUGGAGAACUGAGGGGGGCUGCUCCUAGUACGAGAGGACCGGAGUGGACGCAUCACUGGUGUUCGGGUUGUCAUGCCAAUGGCACUGCCCGGUAGCUAAAUGCGGAAGAGAUAAGUGCUGAAAGCAUCUAAGCACGAAACUUGCCCCGAGAUGAGUUCUCCCUGAGACUUAGAGUCUCCUGAAGGAACGUUGAAGACGACGACGUUGAUAGGCCGGGUGUGUAAGCGCAGCGAUGCGUUGAGCUAACCGGUACUAAUGAACCGUGAGGCUUAACCUU